UCCAGACUCCUACGGGAGGCAGCAGUGGGGAAUAUUGCACAAUGGGGGAAACCCUGAUGCAGCGACGCCGCGUGAGCGAAGAAAUAUUUCGGUAUGUAAAGCUCUAUCAGCAGGGAAGAAAAAAAUGACGGUACCUGAGUAAGAAGCACCGGCUAAAUACGUGCCAGCAGCCGCGGUAAUACGUAUGGUGCAAGCGUUAUCCGGAUUUACUGGGUGUAAAGGGAGCGUAGGCGGCGCGUUAAGUCUGAUGUGAAAACCCGAGGCUCAACCACGGGAGUGCAUUGGAAACUGGCGGGCUGGAGUGCCGGAGAGGUAAGCGGAAUUCCUAGUGUAGCGGUGAAAUGCGUAGAUAUUAGGAGGAACACCAGUGACGAAGGCGGCUUACUGGACGGCAACUGACGCUGAGGCUCGAAAGCGUGGGGAGCAAACAGGAUUAGAUACCCGGGUAC
rnacentral:rRNA from 1 species